AGACGGAGGGUGCAAGCGUUAAUCGGAAUUACUGGGCGUAAAGCGCUCGUAGGCGGCUUGUUAAGUCGGAUGUGAAAGCCCCGGGCUCAACCUGGGAACUGCAUUCGAUACUGGCAGGCUAGAGUAUAGUAGAGGCAAGUGGAAUUCCGGGUGUAGCGGUGAAAUGCGUAGAUAUCCGGAGGAACAUCAGUGGCGAAGGCGACUUGCUGGACUAAUACUGACGCUGAGGUACGAAAGCGUGGGUAGCAAACAGGAUUAGAAACCCUAGUAGUCC
rnacentral:rRNA from 1 species